rnacentral:lncRNA from 1 species
UGGAGGUUCCCAAGCUAGGGGUUGAAUCGGAGCUGUAGCUGCCGGCCUACACCACAGCCACAGCAAUGUCAGAUCCAAGCCAUGCCUGUGACCUACACCACAGCUCACGGCAACACCAGAUCCUUAACCCGCUGAGCAAGGCCAGGGAUUGAACCUGCAACCUCAUGGUUACUAGUUAAAUUCGUUUCUGCUGAGCCACAACAGGAACUCCGAAAGCAUUCAAUAAUUUAUCAUUAAACACGAUAUUAGCUGUAGGUGUUUGUAGAAUUUUUUACUAGAUUAAGAAUGUUCUCAUCUUCUUAGUUUUCUGAAAUUAAAAAAAAAUCAUAAACAAACAAAAUCAUAAACAAGUGUUGAAUUUUAGAAAAUGCUUUUUCCUACAUUUGGGAUGAUAAUGUUUUUUCUCUUUUACUUGGUCAAUGUAAUGAACUGCAUCAUUCUUUAAUUUAAAUUUUUGUUUUUGUUUUGGCCACACUUGUGGCCAUGCAGAAGUUCCUGGGCCAGGGAUUGAAUCCGUGCCACAGGAGCGGCCUGAGCCACAGCAGUGACAAUGUCAGAUCCUUAACCUGCUGAACCACUAGGGAAUUCCACUUUAAAAUUUUCUUUUGGCUUUUUUUCUUUUUUUUUAGGACCACACCCACAGCAUAUGGAGGCUCCCAGGCUAGGGGUAGAAUUGGAGCUGUAGCUGCUGGCCUAUACUACAGCCACAGCAACACCAGAUACUUAACUCACUGAGCGAGGCUAGGGAUCGAACAUGCAUCCUCAUAGAUACUAGUCAUUUCCACUGUGCCAUGAUGGGAAGUAAUUCCUUCACUUUUUGAUUUUUAAAUCAACUUUGUAUUCAUGAAAUGAACCAACUUAGAUCAUGAUAAACCUUUUUACAUAUCCUUGGAUUUUUUUGCAUUUUCUUUAGGACCUUGCAUUUCUACUUUGGGUAGUGUCUGAAAAUGUUAUGUGCAUGGCAGGUGCUCAGAUGCAUAAACUCCCAAUUGUGCCUGGGUCAGACUCUGGGUCAUUGUUGGAGGGCUUCAUCCAAGGCAUGGUUUCCUCAUCCUUGUCUAUUCCAAACUAGCUUCUCAUCACUCUGCAAGGGGCACUUCAGAAAAGAGACCACUUUAUUCAUCAAUCAAAUGUGCUCACGCCUGGUGGAGUGCCCAAAUCUGAUCAGGAUGAUACUGGGAUAAUUACAGUCCCAGCAACUUGGUGGCAUUCUAGAACUGGCUUAUAUUGGCUUGUUACAACAGAUGGUUAAAUUUUAGGAACUGUGAAAGCUGGUUAUUGAUUAUAAUCAUUAUUAAAAAUUAAAUCAUAGGAGUUCCUACUGGGGCACAAUGGGAUUAGCAGCAUCUCUGGAACCCUGGGAUGCAGGUUCCAUCCCCAGCCCAGCACAGUAGGUUAAGGCUCUGGCUGCAGCUUCGGCAUAGGUCAGAACUGCAGCUCAUAUCUGAUCCCUGGCCCUGGCCUGGGAACCCCAUAUGCUGCAGGGCGACCAAACAAAAGGGAGGGGGAACAUUUAAAAAAAAAUUGAAUCAUAUCAACUUGUAAUGAAAUAACUUAUGUUAAGAAUAAAGGUAAUGAAUACCUAAACUCAUCACUUUUAAAUUCUAUUACUAUUAUCUUUGCCCUAUGGGUAAUUUACAUUUAUUGUCUCUAUAUCAUGGAAAUACUAUGUAAUGGCAGGCCACCAAUCAUCUUUCCCAACUCUGUAUUUAGUGGCAUCACACUGGAGCUUGCAAUUGGCUGUGGGGGGAGUAUUUGCACAAUGGAAAACAGAAAACACUACAAAUCAGGGUUUUUAAAUUUUCCCCAGAGAGCUGGUAGUUAAACAUUUACAAGCACAUCACUGUAGCAACUCUGCCAUCUGCUUCCUGCAUCUCUUCCUUUUUUGGUACCAUCCGACAUACUCUAUAUUCACCAGCUUAUUUGUUUGUGUACCUUUCCUACUGGAAGAUAAAUUCCACGAGGUUGGAGAUUUUUUGUUUUCAUUGCUGUAGUGUCCUUAGCACCACCAGCCAUACCUGGCACAUGGCAGGUCCUCGAUAAAUAUUGGCUGAAUGAAUGGACAUUGGUGUCCUCACAUCUUCCCCUGCCUAACUCCCGCGUGCACCCAGUCAUCAAGUUCCACGAAUAGGGCCCUUCUACAUCAGCUUGCUCCUCCCCAACCCUACUCCUAAGGUCCUGUGAACUGGAGAUUGACACAUGCCAUCUGCCUCUACACAUACUGAAUCACGAGCCACUGCAGCUGUGGACCCUCAAUAGCCCUUGAAAGGAGCUCAGGGUGGGGAUCAGGAGUGAGGGGCUCUGUGCUCUGGGAAAACUGGCAGAACGGGUCUUUAGAUAGUUAGAUAUUUUCAGGAGAAGAUUUUAUACAAGCCCAAUUCUUGCAUCUCCUAGUACCUGGAAAAGCACUAAAAUCCUUCAUGGUGACAUCUGCUCCUUGUGACAAGGAGUAAACUUCAGGGGACUAACAGCAACCUUCUGUAAAAUGUGUGCCUAGUUGCAUGUACCUCUCUCUUCACCAAAAUCACAUAGGUACUGAUCUUCCCCCUGCCUCUUUGCACAGUAUUUCAGAGCUAUCUGAAAUGCUGCCUCCUGGGCUGUAGUCCUCAUUUUGCCCCAAGUAAAACUUAACUCUCACCUUUUUUUUUUUUUUUUUGUCUUUUUUGCCAUUUCUUGGGCCGCUCCCGCUGCAUAUGGAGGUUCCCAGGCUAGGGAUCUAAUUGGAGCUGUAGUUGCUGGCCUACGCCGGAGUCACAGCAACACAGGAUCCAAGCCAUGUCUGUGACCUACACCACAGCUCACAACAACGCCGGAUCCUUAAUCCACUGAGCAAGGCCAGGGAUUGAACCCGCAACCUCAUGGUCCCUAGUCGGAUUCGUUAACCACUGAGCCAUGACGGGAACUCCAAAGGUGACAGACUUCAUCCAGGCCUUCCUUCUGUCUUUGGGACCAAGAGCCCUUCCCUUGAUUUCUCCACCACUACUUCUGUCUACUUGUUAAGCCCCCUUCUAUAAACCUUCAGGAAGGCUGUACAGAAACACAAAUUAAACCUCAUCAUUCCUGCUUCAAGCCUGCUGCUGUGGCUCCUGAA